rnacentral:ncRNA from 1 species
CGACUUCAGAGCAGGCGAGAUCACCCGCUGAAUUUAAGCAUAUUAUUAAGCGGAGGAAGAGAAACUAACUAGGAUUUCCUUAGUAGCGGCGAGCAAACAGGAAAAAGCCCAGCACCGAAUCCCGCGGUUUCGCCGCAGGGAAAUGUGGUGUUCGGGAGGAUCCGUUUAUCCCGAGGUGUCGCGCCGCGUCCAAGUCCAUCUUGAAUGGGGCCACUUACCCGCAGAGGGUGCCAGGCCCGUAGCGACCGGUGCGCGUCUCGGGAGGAUUCCUCCUUAGAGUCGGGUUGCUUGAGAGUGCAGCUCUAAGUGGGUGGUAAACUCCAUCUAAGGCUAAAUACGACCACGAGACCGAUAGCGAACAAGUACCGUGAGGGAAAGUUGAAAAGAACUUUGAAGAGAGAGUUCAAGAGUACGUGAAACCGUUCAGGGGUAAACCUAAGAAACCCAAAAGAUCGAACGGGGAGAUUCAUCGUCAGCGACGCUGGCUUCGCGUCGGUGGGCGAUGUCCCGCGGGGUCCUCGCGGCCCGUAGCGCGGACACGCUGCCGUGCGUCGACGUCCGGCGUACGUCGUCGUGCACUUCUCCCCUAGUAGAACGUCGCGACCCGCUGGGUGUCAGUCUACGGCCCGGGUGCGGUGACUGACGCGUCGCCGGUAAAACGGCACGCGUCAAACCCCCGGUCGCCCGGCCGGCUGCCCGGCGGUACACGCACGGUAUCAGGCCGCAGACAACGGUCGGGGCGCGGGGCCCCCCACGUCCUCCGUGGCGUGCGGGGGUCUCCACUCCGUCCUGCUUUGCGUCGAGGCCGUCGCAAGCGCGCGCCACGGUACACGGAGGCUUACGGACCUAGCGCCGUCACCGGUCCUGGCCCGCUGUUGGUCGUACGGUUAACUUUCGACCGGCCAACGAACGUUCCUCGCGUUUCCCCCUCGCGGGGCGGGCGCGGGGGACCGAUACCGGUCGGCGACGCUACUGCUUUGGGUACUCUUAGGACCCGUCUUGAAACACGGACCAAGGAGUCUAACAUGUACGCGAGUCAUUGGGACUCUAGCGAUACCUAAAGGCGUAAUGAAAGUGAAGGUCGGCCCUGGUUGUCGACCGAGGGAGGAUGGGCCGCGUCGCGAUGCGGCUCCGCACUCCCGGGGCGUCUCGUUCUCAUCGCGAGAAGAGGCGCACCCAGAGCGUACACGUUGGGACCCGAAAGAUGGUGAACUAUGCCUGGUCAGGACGAAGUCAGGGGAAACCCUGAUGGAGGUCCGUAGCGAUUCUGACGUGCAAAUCGAUCGUCGGAACUGGGUAUAGGGGCGAAAGACUAAUCGAACCAUCUAGUAGCUGGUUCCCUCCGAAGUUUCCCUCAGGAUAGCUGGCACUCGGCCGUUCCGCACGGAACGCGCGCGAGUCUCAUCUGGUAAAGCGAAUGAUCAGAGGCCUUGGGGCCGAAACGACCUCAAUCUAUUCUCAAACUUUAAAUGGGUGAGAUCUCAGACUUUCUUGAACCGUGAAGUCACGAGUAUCACUCGGAUCAGAGUGCCAAGUGGGCCAUUUUUGGUAAGCAGAACUGGCGCUGUGGGAUGAACCAAACGCAGAGUUAAGGCGCCCAACUCGACGCUCAUGGGACACCAUGAAAGGCGUUGGUUGCUUAAGACAGCAGAACGGUGGCCAUGGAAGUCGGAAUCCGCUAAGGAGUGUGUAACAACUCACCUGCCGAAGCAACUAGCCCUGAAAAUGGAUGGCGCUGAAGCGUCGAGCCUAUACUCUGCCGUCAGCGGCAAGUGGGGCGGCCGUGUGCGCGUCGUCAGACGCGUGCGCGCCGCCACGAAGCCCUGACGAGUAGGAGGGUCGCGGCGGUGUGCGCAGAAGGGUCUGGGCGCGAGCCUGCCUGGAGCCGCCGUCGGUGCAGAUCUUGGUGGUAGUAGCAAAUACUCCAGCGAGGCCCUGGAGGACUGACGUGGAGAAGGGUUUCGUGUGAACAGCCGUUGCACACGAGUCAGUCGAUCCUAAGCCCUAGAAGAAAUCCUAUGUCAAUGACGGCGUACGAUACUCUAGUGUUGUUGUCGCGCUCUCGAUCUCCGACUCGCCGCCGCUCCCACGCGCGCGCGCGACGACGGGGAGGGGAGAGCGCGGUGUCUUCUUCAACGAGAAGCUCUGACAAGACACACGCCCGUCGGGCGAAAGGGAAUCCGGUUCCUAUUCCGGAACCCGGCAGCGGAACCGCAUACAAUUCGGGCCCUCGUAAGAGUGUUCGUCGGGGUAACCCAAAAUGACCUGGAGACGCCGUCGGGAGAUCCGGGAAGAGUUUUCUUUUCUGUAUAAGCGUUCGAGUUCCCUGGAAACCUCUAGCAGGGAGAUAGGGUUUGGAACGCGAAGAGCACCGCAGUUGCGGCGGUGUCCGGAUCUUCCCCUCGGACCUUGAAAAUCCAGGAGAGGGCCACGUGGAGGUGUCGCGCCGGCUUGGCGGCGUGUCGCUUUCGCCCUCGGCGCCAAAGUCCGC